UACGUAGGGGGCGAGCGUUGUCCGGAGUUACUGGGCGUAAAGCGCACGCAGGCGGUCUGCUAAGUUUGGAGUGACAGUUGGUGGCUUAACUGCCAAAGUGCUUCGAAAACUGACAGACUUGAGGGCUUCAGAGGGACACGGAAUUCCGGGUAGAGUGGUGAAAUGCGUAGAGAUCCGGAGGAACACCAAAGGCGAAGGCAGUGUCCUGGGGAGUACCUGACGCUCAGGUGCGAAAGCCAGGGGAGCGAACGGG
rnacentral:rRNA from 1 species